UUAAAUAUAAAUAGAUAUACAAUGGAUAUCUAGAUAUUAGAUUUACUAACGUACAUUAUAAUACGAAACAAACUACUGAGAAGCUCAUUUGUGCAAUAAAAGUAGUUUAAGAAUCUAUAAUUUUAUCAUUAUAGAAAUUUUGAUUAGAUACAUUAAGUGAAGAGAAACAUCUUAGUAACUUAAUCAAAAGAAACUUAUGGUUCGAGACCGAAAGUAGUGGUGAGCGAAAUUGGCAGAGGUUUUGACGGGUAUGAAUGAAAGCUCGGUGUCCCGCACUAGUACAAAUUUGUUCGAAAAACAUAGAAUUGUUUAUAAGAUAAGGUGUGAAUCCUGUAGAGCAAUAACAGCGUAAGGAAUUAAUUUCUAAAAGUAAAGUGAAAUAAGUGUUUCAUUUGAACAUGGUAAAUCCACUUACUAAACCUAUUAAAUCUAAUAAUCGAUAGUGGAUAGUACUGUGAAGGAAAGAUGAAAAGACUCUUCAUUAAAGGAGUUCAAAGAGAUCUUGAAGUUGUAUAUCUAUAAGCAUUUGAAGCAUAGAUUUUUUUAUGUGACAUUAUACCUUUUGCAUCAUGGGUCAACUAGUAUAUUUUUAUUAGCAAGCUUAAGUUGAGAGCUGUUGAAAAUUCAUUCAAUCUCAGUUCUGACAUUGGAGGCGCAGCGAAAGCGAGUACUUUUACGUACUAUAGUUAAUUUAAUAUGACCCGAAGUCAAGUGAUCUAUCCAUGAUCAAGUUGAAUUUUUAUUAAGGACUGAACUCGUGUAUGUGACACCAUGCUGAGACGAAUUGUGGAUAGGGGUGAAAGACUAAUCAAACUUGAUAUAGCUGGUUUUCCGCGAAAUUUAUUUAAGUAAAGUGCCAAUUGUUUAAAACAUUAGAAGUAGAGUACUUAUAGUGCGAUGGGGAUCAAAAGUUCUACUGAACACUUUUUAACUUUGAAUUCUAAAUGAUUUUUUUAUUGGUAAACGAAAUAUAAGUGAAAAGGUUUAUAUUUAAGAGGGAAACAGCCCAGAUUGUCAAUUAAGAUUUUUAAAUAUAUACUUAGUUGGAUAAUGAAUGUUUAAGUUUAUGUAAGCUAGAAUGUGGGCUUGGAAGCAGCCAUCAUUUAAAGAAAGCGUAAAAGCUCACUAGUGCAAUGCUUGUUCAUUCUAAAAAUAUAAAGAAAAUGAAGUAAUAUUUUAUCGAAAUUACAAAUUAAUGUUUAUUAAUGGUAGCGGAAUGUUUUGUAUAUUGCUUUAGAAAAAUUUUAUAAUUUUUUUUUAAUAUCAAAAUUAAGAAUGUUCUGGCGUGAGUAGCUUAAAAAUAUGUAAAAGAAACAUAUUCACCGCAAAUCUAAGGUUUUCUGUGGAAUUGGCUUAUCCUCCCAGAGUAAGUCGAUAUCUAAGAUAUAUGUGAAUACUAUUAUCAAUGAGAAAAGUUUUCUUACCUUUUUACUAUUAAAAAAGUAUAAAUAAAUGCAAUUACUGCAUGAAUAAAUGUUUUCAUUUAUUUGUAUUUUCUGGAAAAAAAUAGUACUUAUUAUUAAGGACAAUAAAAAAAAAGAUCGUAUCGUAAACUGACACAAGUAGAUUAGUUGAAUAUACUAAGGUGAUUAGGAUAAUAAUGUUGAAGGAACUCGGCAAAUUAACUCCGUAACUUCGGAAGAUGGAGUCUUUUGUAAUGCUAAAUUACAAAAGGUCACAAAAAUGAAAGAAGCGACUGUUUAUCAAAAACACAGGAUUCUGCAAAAUUAAAUAUGAUGUAUCGAAUCUGACACCUGCCCGGUGCUGCGCCAUAACUAUAAUAUAUUUUUUAAUUUUUAAAGUAUGUAAUAUAAAUCUCAGUAAACGGCGGCUGUAACUCUGACGGUCCAAAGGUAGCGAAAUUCCUUGUCAUUUAAUUGAUGACGUGCAUGAAUGGUGUAACGACUUCUUUACUGUCUCCAACAAUAUCCUAGUGAAAUCGAGAAUUCUGUUCAAAUGCAGAGAUUUAGCAGUUAGACGGUAAGACCCUAUGAACCUUUACUAUAGUUAUGUAUAAUUUCUUAUUAAUAAAUAAUGUAGCAUAGGCAAUAGUUUAUGUUAAUGACGAAGGUGAAAUAUUGCUAUAUUCAUUAAUUCUAAGUAGGAUAUUUUAAAAUAAAAAAUAUUUAAUCUUUGCAUAAUUGUUAGUUUGGCUGGGGCGGUAGCCUACUAAAAAGUAACGUAGGUGUGCAAUGGCAGUAUUCAAUAAUGUCUAACAUUAUUUGUAUAUAUAAUGGUAUAAUACUGCUUGACUGUAAGAUGUACAUAUCAAACAGGAAUUUUAAUUUUUAAAGUUGGCCAUAAUGAUCCGGUAUAACAUAGUGGAAUGUAUAUCGCUCAACGGAUAAAAGGUACUCUAGGGAUAACAGGCUUAUUAUCUCUCAAGAGCUCAUAUCUACAGAGUAGUUUGGCACCUCGAUGUCGGCUCAUCACAUCCUGGAGCUGAAAAUGGUUCCAAGGGUUUAGCUGUUCGCUAACGAAAGUGGUACGUGAGCUGGGUUCAGAACGUUGUGAAACAGUUCGGUCCCUAUCUACUGUUGAAUAUAAAAAAUAAAAAUAACUUUUCUUAAGUACGAAAGGACUGAGAAGAGCAAUCCAAUUAUGUACCAAUUGUUUUUUCAAAAGCAUCGUUGGGUAGUUACGAUUGCAGAAAUAACUACUCUUUUUUAGGUAGGAAGUUCUAAUUCUAAUUUUUUAAGAGGAAGGUAAUAGACUAUUACUAAAUAGGUUAAAGGUAUAUGUACUGUGAAGUGCAAAGCUUAUUAAUACUAAUAUUCCAAUAAUAUUUAACAA
rnacentral:rRNA from 1 species